rnacentral:miRNA from 1 species
AGAUGGUUUAAUUUUGUUUG